CUUGCACGAGAAGGGAUGGCACAUGGGCUCGUUCGAAACACCACAGGUACUGGAAAACGAUCAUGCCGCUUUGACCCCACGGCCAACCCUCUGGUUAGAACAGAGCCAUGCCACAAUGUUUCCUCUCCAUCCUCUCAUUCCCUUCUUCCUCGCACGCGUCCAGGGCGACGACGAUGUCUGUUCCGGCGCCAUGUCUACCGAUGGUGUCGAGCUCAACGGGGGGGGUUGACGGAGCUACAGAGUGGAGUGCUUCAGUACUACCAUUGGAGUCUCAGGAUUCCAUGAGUGUCGUGAAUGUCGAUGGGGGCGCCGCCGGCAAGUAUCAGUCGUUGGGAGAUGAAGCCAGAUAAGACGUUGCUCCGAAGCAACUAGUGGUUUGACUCGAAGGUUAGUGAGAAGAACAUCGAUGCAUAUCAUUUGUUGGUCGAUUUGACAGUUGUUUUAGCAAAAUUUGGACCAUGGAUGGUAUAUUAGUUAGGGUUGUUUAGCAACCACGGGAUUCUUUUAGGAAGUGUGUAUACUAGAUAGUUUUUCUAGGCACAUCUGCUCUGAGGGGUUGUAGAUUUAUUUGUGUUUGAGCCAUGAUCUUUGGAUUUUGAAUUGGCAACAAAGGAUUUAGUUUGUACCUGUGCCUCUGGUUAACUAAUUUCUAGCAUGGAUGGAUUACUGGUUAAUGUUUUAUUAGGUGCCAAUGGGGUGGGUAUCAUGCACAUGACCCGUGGGACUGAUUCUAUGCUCGAUUUGGUUGAUGCGCUGGGGAUACUUCUAUAGUUUAAAAGAAUUGAUUCCUAGCUCUGGGUUAAUGAGGCAGGCGUGUUUUCUGCUGGAUUUUGUUCAAUGUCUAAGAUGAAGUAUAAAUAUGGAUAUGGUUAUUGGGGACAUAUGUUCAUAGCACCUUUUGGUUGUGGUUGUCUGCCAUAGGAAUGGCACAGAUUUUGUUGUUGGGUUGCCUUGUUUGAUGAGACAUGGAUUAUUGUGUGUUUUGCCAGAUUAUUAGUUAUAUAGCUAUUUACUAAUGAAGAAUUUGUGUGUGCUCUUGGAUUUAGUCAGUGUUUUGCGUUGGAGUACACUUAUCUUAAUGAUGCCUGGGAACAGAUGUUCAGAACUAUGUUUGUUGUUGUUGUUUUUUGCAUAGGAUGGUUAGUUUUCCGAGGAUUUCCUAGUGGGAAAUCCGGUGUGUGCUGUCAGUGAGGGAGCAAUGCUUUUUUGAUUGAUUAAAAAAGCUUUAUAAGAUACCACUCCGUUCAUAUGAUUUUUUCCAUAUUAUUGAUUUGGCGCUGAUCUUUUUCUGCCUUACAUUUUUCUGGAGACACUCUUUUCAGGGUAAGGAUUGGGAAAGCGCCAGAGGAGAGGGAAAUGAACCCACAUUUUUCUGGAGACACUCUUUUCAGGGUAAGGAUUGGGAAAGCGCCAGAGGAGAGGGAAAUGAACCCUGACAGGAAAACCACACUUGAACUGUCCGUGCGCUUAUGAGUUCUACAACAUCUACUCGUGGGAAUGUGGAUUUAGAGUUAGGCUGGCAAAAAACAGACCGAAUGUUCAUCAGAAAAGAUGCAUGCAAGAGAUAUUGUGCGGGCAAGCCAAUGAGGGAAAACAGUCGCUCAUCAAGGUGUGGCUGCAAAGCAAUGAUUAGGCUCCUUCGCUCGAAAUAAAAUGGUUGGUACAUAUCAGAGUAUAAAGUGGGACAUAACCACCCGUUGUGUGGAUAGAAAAUGCAUUGAAAGUCACACAGGCAGAUUGACAGAUAUGCGAAGGAUCUAGUGAAACAACUCCAGGACAUUAAUGUUGGUCUUGGGAAGGUUUUCAGCAUUGUGGGAAGUUUUUUUUGGGUCAGUUGAUAAUGUGCCAUUUACCAAGCGCUCAUUGAAGAUAGCGUGCAGGAAGUUAAACAAGGAACAAUCAUACUUUGAUGCCAUGAAGACAAUGGAAGUUGUGUCCAAGAUGAAAGCCAAUGAUCCUGACUUCAACUACACUGUGCAAGUAAAUGAAGAAAGCCGAAUAAAAACAUUGAUGUGGGUUACAAGCAGGGGUUGUGAUCAGUAUCGCUACUUCGGGGAUGCAAUUACAUUUGACACAAUUUACAGGACCAACUUGCAUGACAUGCCAUUUGGGCUUGGCGUCAACAACCGCUUCCACUUCCAGUGUAUAAUUUUUGGUGGUGUCAUGAGAUUACUGACUGAGAGCUCGGCACGAACCUCAACCCAAGUAGAAAACUUACUAAGUGACAGAUAUCACAUGUGAUGCAUAGGUAGAUGUUGGAAAAAUAGUUGGGUUUAUUAAGCAUUUAUGAAUUACCGUUGCCCCGUGGUAUGCACUUUCCUCGGCAGAUAUUUUCACUGUAAUUUUGUCAACCAUCUUCUUCAUUGAAUCAUAGUUGUACAACCCUAUACGGGGGUUA